rnacentral:rRNA from 1 species
CGGCACGGGUGAGUAACACGUAUCCAACCUGCCGUCUACUCUUGGACAGCCUUCUGAAAGGAAGAUUAAUACAAGAUGGCAUCAUGAGUCCGCAUGUUCACAUGAUUAAAGGUAUUUUCCGGUAGACGAUGGGGAUGCGUUCCAUUAGAUAGUAGGCGGGGUAACGGCCCACCUAGUCAACGAUGGAUAGGGGUUCUGAGAGGAAGGUCCCCCACAUUGGAACUGAGACACGGUCCAA